rnacentral:rRNA from 1 species
CGAACGCUGGCGGCGUGCUUAACACAUGCAAGUCGAACGCGAAAGGGACUUCGGUCCUGAGUAAAGUGGCGCACGGGUGAGUAACGCGUAGAUAACCUGUCUUCAUGUCUGGCAUAAUACGCCGAAAGGGGUACUAAUACCGGAUAUUCUUGCUUUUCAUAAGUUAUGCAAGCAAAGGUGGCCUCUGCAUAUGCUACUGCAUGAAGAGGGGUCUGCGUACCAUUAGCUAGUAGGUGGGGUAAUGGCCUACCUAGGCGACGAUGGUUAGCGGGUCUGAGAGGAUGAUCCGCCACACUGGCACUGGAACACGGGCCAGACUCCUACGGGAGGCAGCAGUGAGGAAUAUUGCGCAAUGGGGGAAACCCUGACGCAGCGACGCCGCGUGAGUGAGGAAGGCCUUCGGGUCGUAAAGCUCUGUCAAGAGGAAAGAAGUGUACAAUGGCUAAUACCUGUUGUAUUUGACGGUACCUCUAAAGGAAGCACCGGCUAACUCCGUGCCAGCAGCCGCGGUAAUA